AUUAAUAUUUAAAUAUUUAGAAUGAUAAAACUUAAAAUUUCUCUUUCUUAAUUGACUUUUCAAACUACUAGAGCAAUUUCCAAUUUUAAACUUUAUAAGGUAACUAUUAAUUAUUAAUUCAAGUUGUAUAUUUGCAAGAAAACAUGAUGUGGUAACAUUUAUCUUUUUUCUAUGCGUCCUAAAAUUCAUCGUUUUCAUUGUUUCCAAAAUAUCUAAUAAAGCCAUGAGAGUGGUAAUCUUCGAUUUGCUGUUCUAUGGCUGUGUUCCAAAAUUUACUGCCAGCGCUAAAGAUCUAUAGUUUACGUCACAUAUAUUAUACAAUUUUAGCACUGGCAGCAAUUCUGGAACACAGGGUAUGUGUGGGUCUUACAUAACCCUCAUCUCGGAUUUUAAAUAAACGUUAGACUGAAACAGUAGGUAUACAAUAAGAGAAUCGACAUUUUUGCAAAAAAAAACAAGAUUGCCUUUAAAUGUCCUCACCCUGAUAGCCAAGCAUGUUUUGCAAAAUCAUGUAACUUANUGCUGAGCUGAAGUUUUCAACUAGUUGCUGUGUAUUUGCU